CGUAUGAAGUACGUUUCACCUCGGGUGACAGGGAGACGAGGUGGUGCAUGGUUGUCGUCAGCUCGUGUCGUGAGAUGUUGGGUUAAGUCCCGCAACGAGCGCAACCCUCGACCUUAGUUGCCAGCAUUCAGUUGGGCACUCUAAGGUGACUGCCGGCUAAAAGUCGGAGGAAGGUGGGGACGACGUCAAAUCAUCAUGCCCCUUAUGACCUGGGCUACACACGUGCUACAAUGGGCGGUACAAAGGGUCGCGAACCCGCGAGGGGGGAGCCAAUCCCAAAAAAGCCGCUCUCAGUUCGGAUUGCAGGCUGCAACUCGCCUGCAUGAAGCCGGAAUCGCUAGUAAUCGCGGAUCAGCAUGCCGCGGUGAAUACGUUCCCGGGCCUU
rnacentral:rRNA from 1 species